AGUAGACGUUCAGAGUUUGAUCCUGGCUCAGGAUGAACGCUAGCGAUAGGCUUAACACAUGCAAGUCGAGGGGCAGCACGGAAUAGCAAUAUUUUGGUGGCGACCGGCGCACGGGUGAGUAACACGUAUGCAACCUACCCAUGACAGUGGAAUAACCCGUCGAAAGGCGGACUAAUACCGCAUAAUAAAGAGUGCUCGCAUGGGUACUUUUUCAAAGAUUUAUCGGUCAUGGAUGGGCAUGCGUUCCAUUAGGUAGUUGGCGGGGCAACGGCCCACCAAGCCUGCGAUGGAUAGGGGUUCUGAGAGGAAGGUCCCCCACACUGGUACUGAGACACGGACCAG
rnacentral:rRNA from 1 species